AGCACAACCCAGUAAAUGCCUGUUUACUGGAAAACAAAUUUAACGAAGAGGUGCAUCCUGUGCUCGGACAAACAACACUGCUCAAAGAGCUGUGCGUGUGUGGUGGUGCUAUCUCCUGCAUCAUCUAAAGCCUCUUUUGCUGAUGCAAAACCAUUCUCCGGACUUGAUUUUUACAUCCCUGUGAAGAAGAAGAGCGCCGUGAUGAGCAGCAGGCUCGCUGGUGGCCUCCCUACCUGUACGCGUGGCAGACCGUGCACUUCCAGAUCGCUGCUCCCACACGACACUUGUUGCAGAUGCGGUGGCUGCAGCCGCGGCAGACUGCGCCAGAGUUCCAGAACUUUCCCA